CUACGGAGGGUCCGAGCGUUAUCCGGAAGCAUUGGGUUUAAAGGGUCCGUAGGCGGGCAGCUCAGUCAGUGGUGAAAGUUUGCAGCUCAACUGUAAAAUUGCCAUUGAUACUGGUUGUCUUGAAUUAAUGUGAAGUGGUUAGAAUAAGUAGUGUAGCGGUGAAAUGCAUAGAUAUUACUUAGAAUACCAAUUGCGAAGGCAGAUCACUAACAUUAUAUUGACGCUGAUGGACGAAAGCGUGGGAAGCGAACAGGAUUAGAAACCCUAGUAGUCC
rnacentral:rRNA from 1 species